ACAAUUUUACCUGUAAUAAGGGAAGGGGACCUCCUUCCCCCGUACGGAUGUGGGUUUUACUGAGUUAUAGAUAAUAUUUUUUGUUACUUUUCUACCUAAUGGAUCUAAGUAUAGAGAAAGGGCAUGUUCUUUCCAUCUGCAUGUUUGGAUUUUUAUUGGUUUUAACUCUGUUUGCAUAUUUCAUAGUUUCUGUUGAGAGAUUUGUAAAUUUCGCUCUAUUAGGUUGUGGCCCUUUCUCAUCACGAGUUCCAUUUCUGUAUUUAGUUGUUCUUUUGUGGUUGCCGGUCUAAAGACUCCAAGAUUUACCGCAGUUUAUGGUUAUCAUUUGACGAAGAGUGCAGAAAGCAAGAUGCUGGUGGUAUCUGGCAGGGACCCGUGAACAGCUCGGAAGGCGCGAGUAAGACACCAAAAAGCCCUAUCAUCUCCGGUCGUUGCCAGCACGUUACAGAUUUUGAAUUCUCUCCAUGCCUCGAUACUUUGAGCUUCCUAUUGUCUUACUUAAGAGCCG
rnacentral:lncRNA from 1 species